GAUUUAUCUAGCUGGCACCUGGCUGGGCAGACAUGGAGCAGCGCUGUGUAUUUUUCUGAUGAGAGACCUGAGACUCAGAGAAGUGAAUUGGCUUGCCCAGAGUCACCCAGCUCCUGAGUGGUGAAGCUGUUUGCUGGAAACCGGCCUUUUUGAGACCAAAACCUGUGUCUCCCUGGCUGCAUCAACUGCUUUCCUGCCCCAAGAGUUUGCUCUCAGGUCAGGAUGGGCCCAGUCACUUCUUGGCUCAGCAGGACCCCAGCUCAGGCCUGGAGUGAGAGGUAGGAACCCAGCGCUACCUCGUCUCACUGCUGGGAACGCUAUCUCAUUGUCCAUGGGUGGACUUUCGGGACAAGGGAUAGGCAGCUCGCGGACCUCAGAAACCACUGGACUAGAGGCUCCUGGGAGACAGACACCAUGUCUGGUCCAUUCCUGUACCCCAUGCCCAGCAUCGGGGGAGCACAUGCAUUUUAUUGCCAAUGACACGGAGAGACAGCUGGUUCGGCAAACGGUCCCCCAGCCAAUUUCUGUCCUAGCUCUUCCUGCUCCCACCCCUUCCUCAUAUGGGCCAUUGCUGUUCCUACAGCUCUGGGAAGCUGUCUCCUGUCUCCAGGACAAAGCCUUGGAGUCUUCCCCUGUCCCCCAGUCUCUCCCGCUCUCCCCAGCUCCCUUCCUUAUAUGAAUCCUGUUGGGCCUUGUGUAUCUUGGGACCUUUGCCUGCUGCAAGUCACCUCUCAGGCCCCAGGAUGGCUGGACACAGGUACCUCUUUGUCUUUCUAGGGCCGUCCAUGGCAGCCCCGCUUUCAUUCCAAUUACUUCUGGCCCCACCCCUGACAGACAGAGGGGUCACUUUCAUAUUUAAAAUGUAACUCAAUUUAACAUCUUAAUAGGUAAUAAAUUCUCCUGGUCCAAGGGUACCGACAAUGAAAAGCCCUCGUCCCACCCUACUCCCAGCAUCACAGCUCCCUCCAUGGAGGCAGUGUUACCAGUUCCCUGUGUGCCCUUCCAGAGAUAGUCUAGGCAUCUACAGGUAAAUAUAUGGAGAUAUACACGUAUUUUUAUGAAAUGUACUCCCCCCUCUUCUGUUCACAAAUAGUACCAUAUAAUCCACAGGGUUCUGUGCUUUGUUUUGUCACUUGACACUAUAUCUUGGAGAUGACUUCCUAGCAAGACAGGAAGAGCCUCCUCAUUCUUUUUUUUUUUUAAAGAUAUAAUUCCUGUACCAUAAAAUUCACUUCUAUAAAAAGUAAAAUUAAGUGAUUUUUAAUUGAUUCACCAAGUUAUGCCACCAUUACCGGUAUCUAAUUCUGGAACCUUUCCAUCACCCCCCAAAGAAACCACAUACUUGUUAGAGUCACUUCUCAUUCUUUUCCACCCCCAACCUCUGACAACCACUAAUCUAUUUCUUGUCUUCAUGGGAUUUGCCUA